rnacentral:rRNA from 1 species
CACGUAGGGCGCGAGCGUUGUCCGGAAUUAUUGGGCGUAAAGAGCGUGUAGGCGGCCCGAUUAGUCCGCUGUGAAAGUUCAGGGCUCAACCCUGGAAUGCCGGUGGAUACUGUCGGGCUAGAGUCCGGAAGGGGCGAGUGGAAUUCCUGGUGUAGCGGUGAAAUGCGCAGAUAUCAGGAGGAACACCAAUGGCGAAGGCAGCUCGCUGGGACGUGACUGACGCUGAGACGCGAAAGCGUGGGGAGCAAACAGG